rnacentral:rRNA from 1 species
GAUGAACGCUGGCGGCGUGCCUAAUACAUGCAAGUCGAGCGAACGGACGAGAAGCUUGCUUCUCUGAUGUUAGCGGCGGACGGGUGAGUAACACGUGGAUAACCUACCUAUAAGACUGGGAUAACUUCGGGAAACCGGAGCUAAUACCGGAUAAUAUUUUGAACCGCAUGGUUCAAAAGUUAAAGACGGUCUUGCUGUCACUUAUAGAUGGAUCCGCGCUGCAUUAGCUAGUUGGUAAGGUAACGGCUUACCAAGGCAACGAUGCAUAGCCGACCUGAGAGGGUGAUCGGCCACACUGGAACUGAGACACGGUCCAGACUCCUACGGGAGGCAGCAGUAGGGAAUCUUCCGCAAAGGGCGAAAGCCUGACGGAGCAACGCCGCGUGAGUGAUGAAGGUCUUCGGAUCGUAAAACUCUGUUAUUAGGGAAGAACAUAUGUGUAAGUAACUGUGCACAUCUUGACGGUACCUAAUCAGAAAGCCACGGCUAACUACGUG